UGUUUGUUUCUCAAUAAUGAUGUUGGUUUACUUCUGAACAAGGUUUAAUUUCCUCUUGUAACAUAUCAGCUUUAACUCAGUCAUGACACAAAUGGAAACUUAGCACCAACGCACAGAGCACUGUCAACGUUACGAAACCAGAAAAUAGGUUUGGCAUGAGUUAAAUAGUGCAGUGAGUAAUAAAGCAGUAGUUUACCGCCAAGGUUAGAGUUGGAGUUAGUUAUGUAUGUUAACUUGAUAUGAAUUGUUUUUCAUGCCUUCUUAUUGACAUUACAACAAAUAUGUGGAGUCUUAUAAACCGCAUCAAGUCAAAUGAAACAUGAAUGAUGAUCAGCAAAAUGUCAAUGGUUCCACAGUGCUCUUCUGGUCUCACAAUCCUAGUGUCAAUACAAGCUAGUUUUAUUAAAUAAAAAAGUGGGAAUGAAUUCUGUUUGUUUCUCAAUAAUGAUGGUUUAAUUCUGAGCAAUGUUUCAUUUCCUCUUGCAACAUAACUAGCUGCAGCUUUAACUCAGUCAUGACACAAAUGGAAACUAGGCACCACCGCACAGAGUUGUCAAUGUUAUGAAACAAGAACAUAUGUUUGGCAUGAGUUAAAUAGUGCAGUGAGUAAUAAUGCAGUAAUUUACAUAUCCCAUAAGUGUCUUCCUAUUUUAUCUAUCAUUGAAGGAGGACACUCCUUCAAGCGAAACAGGUUUUAGUUGGAAGAACACUUUUUCAAAAGCUCCCAGACAUAGCAUAUACAGCCUUAUUUGACUCGGGAAUAGGACAAUGAACAACAUUUGGCACAAUAAGUAACUUACUCAAGGAUUCAUGUCAACAAGACUUUAAGUUUGGAGAAGAGAACCACCCCAAGACCCAGAGUGAGGAACAGCAUGAGAAGAAUCAAGAUGCCGGCCCCUCUGAGGGUCAGAAUCAUAAUAAUUGCCAUCCUCACCAACCUCUAACGGUAUUGGUUUCAACUACUAAACUACUGGACGGUCCAACUACUCAUCACUGAAUUUCUAAUGUUACAAUAACAUAUUAAAUUAAUGUGUAACUCAAUUAGCUUAUAUUUGCUGUAACAUCAAACAAUUCUAGAUGCCACAACAAUGUAAAGAAGACCAAUCUGGCACCAAGACAGAGGUGUAUUAUGAAAANNNNNNNNNNAGAGUUAAAGUGGCGUGAUAUUGCCUGAGCAUCAGCAUAACUGAACAACACAGACAGCAAAAUGAUGUUCAUCAGCAAAGAAAGAGGGUCAGGAAUGGGUGGUUGUCACAACAGCGUGCUAAGUAUUGAUGUCUCACAAGACAUCACGUUAAACGUUUGACCAUAACAUACACAUACUGUAACUUUACUAUUUUAUUUGCUUCCUGCUCCUGUGUUGUUUAAAUGUAUUGUACAGUUUGUAAUGUUCCUGCAAAUAAUUAUAAAACAACUAUUUGAAGUUAAGUUAAUAAAGAACAGAAAAUGUCAUGUUUUGUCCCUCUGAUUCCUAAGGAUAUCUGUCGGUAAAUCUGUAAAAGCCUUUUGAUAUUUUAACUCACCACCCCUAAAAACACCUUGCUGAUGUUUAUUCAUAAGUAAACAGUUAACAGCAUAUAGCUAGUCUGGGUACCAGUCUGUUUAGCUAUCAUUC
rnacentral:lncRNA from 13 species